rnacentral:rRNA from 1 species
CACGUAGGGCGCAAGCGUUGUCCGGAAUUAUUGGGCGUAAAGAGCUCGUAGGCGGUCUGUUGCGUCCGCUGUGAAAACCCGGGGCUUAACCCCUGGCUUGCAGUGGAUACGGACAGACUAGAGGUAGGUAGGGGAGAAUGGAAUUCCCGGUGUAGCGGUGAAAUGCGCAGAUAUCGGGAGGAACACCAGUGGCGAAGGCGACUUUCUGGGAUAUUCCUGACGCUGAGGAGCGAAAGCGUGGGGAGCAAACGGG